CUGGCGGCGUGCUUAACACAUGCAAGUCGAACGAGAAAGGGACUUCGGUCCUGAGUAGAGUGGCGCACGGGUGAGUAACGCGUAGGUAAUCUACCUCUGCAUCUGGGAUAACACUUCGAAAGGGGUGCUAAUACCGGAUACACUUAUGGACCGCAAGGUCUAUAAGGAAAGGACACCUCUCCUUGGAAGUUUCUGUGUAGAGAUGAGCCUGCGUCCCAUUAGCUAGUUGGCAGGGUAAAGGCCUACCAAGGCGACGAUGGGUAGCGGGUCUGAGAGGAUGAUCCGCCACACUGGAACUGAAACACGGACCACUACUCCUACGGGAGGCAGCAGUGAGGAAUAUUGGACAAUGGGCGCAAGCCUGAUCCAUCGNACGCCGCUUGGAAUGAUGAAGGCCUUUGGGUCGUAAAAGCUCUG
rnacentral:rRNA from 1 species